ACUCUGAUAGCUCAGUUGCUUGAGUGUGAGAUUCUUAAUCUCAGGGUUGUGGGUUCAAGACUCCCAUUGAGUGGA